rnacentral:rRNA from 1 species
AACGAACGCUGGCGGCAUGCCUAACACAUGCAAGUCGAACGCCCCGCAAGGGGAGUGGCGAACGGGUGAGUAACGCGUGGGAACCUACCCAGCAGUUGGGGAUAACAGCGGGAAACUGCGGCUAAUACCGACUACGUCCUCAGGGAGAAAGAUUUAUCGCUGUUGGAGGGGCCCGCGGCGGAUUAGCUAGUUGGUGAGGUAACGGCUCACCAAGGCGACGAUCCGUAGCUGGUCUGAGAGGAUGAUCAGCCACACUGGGACUUAGACACGGCCCAGACUCCUACGGGAGGCAGCAGUGGGGAAUAUUGGACAAUGGGGGCAACCCUGAUCCAGCAAUGCCGCGUGAGUGAUGAAGGCCUUAGGGUUGUAAAGCUCUUUUACCGGGGACGAUGAUGACGGUACCCGGAGAAUAAGCCCCGGCUAACUUCGUGCCAGCCGCCGCAGUAAUAC